AUGUGGUUUAAUUCGACGCAACGCGCAGAACUUACCUAGGCUUGACAUCCCGGGAAUUUGCUGGAAACAGUGAAGUGCUUUCAUUAGAAGAGCCCGGUGACAGGUGCUGCAUGGCUGUCGUCAGCUCGUGUCGUGAGAUGUUGGGUUAAGUCCCGCAACGAGCGCAACCCUCGCCUUUAGUUGCCAGUCAUUCAGUUGGGCACUCUAAAGGGACUGCCGGUGUCAAACCGGAGGAAGGUGGGAUGACGUCAAGUCCUCAUGGCCUUUAUGUCUAGGGCUACACACGUACUACAAUGGCAGGUACAAAGGGCAGCGACACAGCGAUGUGAUGCGAAUCCCGAAAAGCCUGUCUCAGUCCGGAUCGGAGUCUGCAACUCGACUCCGUGAAGUUGGAAUCGCUAGUAAUCGUGGAUCAGCAUGCCACGGUGAAUACGUUCCCGGGCCUU
rnacentral:rRNA from 1 species